rnacentral:rRNA from 1 species
AGGGUUUGAUUCUGGCUCAGGAUGAACGCUAGCGACAGGCUUAACACAUGCAAGUCGAGGGGCAGCAUAAGGUAGCAAUACUUUGAUGGCGACCGGCGCACGGGUGAGUAACGCGUAUGCAACCUACCUAUCAGAGGGGAAUAACCCGGCGAAAGUCGGACUAAUACCGCAUAAAACAGGGGUUCCGCAUGGAAAUAUUUGUUAAAGAAUUAUCGCUGAUAGAUGGGCAUGCGUUCCAUUAGAUAGUUGGUGAGGUAACGGCUCACCAAGUCUACGAUGGAUAGGGGUUCUGAGAGGAAGGUCCCCCACACUGGUACUGAGACACGGACCAG